GGAUGGAUGACAGUGUCUUAGUACCCUGUAAUGAAUUAAGUUGUUCAUCCCUCUAUGCUCCUUAGCCAUGAUGGUUCAAGCAAAUCGGAGAUAUCUGAGAAGACCAUAAAAAUGAAGAAGAAGAUAAAGAUGAUGAAGAUAAAGAAGAUAAUCGAAGGCAUUGUUGUUAUGGGGGCUCUUGUCUUCGUUGAAGCCGAAGGGUUCAGGUAGUUAUUCUUGAAAGUGAAGCUCAACAAGUUGUUUAUGAGUUAAAUUUUAUGCAUAGAAUUGGCGUUGCAACAGAGGUUAUGCUAGCUAAUUGUCAUAUUUUGCUCUAUCUUUUCGUAAAUCUUCUUUUGCUUAUACUAGAGGAACUUGUAAUAGGUGGCUCAUGAUCAUGAAGUAGCAAGGUUUGCAUCCCCACUGAUCUUAGGCUGGUUUGACCUUUAUCUAGUUUUUCAAUAAAAUUUUCUUCAGUAGAAAAAAAAAGAAAAAAAAAAUGAACAAGGAAUCCAAAAGUUUGAAAAGUUUGACAAAAGUGUAUGCAAAUGACAUGGUUAGAGCUAAUAAAAACUGGAAUCCAAACAUUUUUCUUAUUAAUCUGGAGAGGAAACUUGGACCUAUUAAGUUUUAUUGAAUAAGUACUAACACAUUAGUAUUGCCAUGAUUUUAUUAAUUAGUAUUGUCAUAUUUUUUAUUCAUCAGCAGUGUCAUGUUUCAGUUUUAUACAUUUGUAUUAUGCUCAAAUCAAUUCAAGAAGAAAAAUUGAAAAGCAAGAUAUGAUUUGAUCGCUAAAAUUUAUGUAAUAGUUCAAAGAGGAUGAAAUUUGGAAUUCAUUCUUUCUCAUUGAACAUCACAUUGGUUCAAUGCAGUUGUAGUUGCAUACCAUGAUUUAAUCCUUUUUAAUUUUUCUUUUUGAAACAUGGGUUGAUAAUAAAAAGUUUGACAGAAGUGUACCCAAAUGAAUAUGAUUAGGCCUAAUCAAAAUCCAAAUCUGGGAAUUUCAUUUACAAAUCUGCUAAUUUGUUUCAGGAUGAUAAGAAGGUCUUAGUGCCCCAGAAUGAAUUAAGCUGCUCGUUUCUCUUAUUUUGUUGGUUCUAAUCCUCAUUUUUGUGGUUUAUCGAGAAGGUCUAUCAAAGUUGCUAUAGACAAGGCUAAGAAGCAAUGCAGAUUCAGCCUGGGUAGUGCAUUCUUCUAUGCUUCUUCAACCUUGAUGUCCAGCUACUUCGAAGGGAGGCAUAUAUGGUCUGUAAUUUGUUUGGUUUAUUGGGUUUGGAAGACAUUAAUUCUAGAUGUAAUCUUUGAUGGAAAUAGAGAUGACCACACCAUAAUAUAGUGUGACUCUCUGCAUCCUAUUAUUUCCCAUAGCUUGGUGAUUGAUCCUUCCCUCAAGGAGGAUAUAAAUCUAGAAGGUUUGGUUUGAAUUCAAAAUGAAAAGACACAAUUGUAUGAAGCAUAGUGACUACUGGGUUUGGAGACUCAAUAUCAAUGGUUGUAACCAUUGAUAAAGAGACAUCAUGUAGCCUAUAAAUAGAUGGCUGGAACAAUGCAACUACACACUUGGAAUUGCUAAUUAUUCUCUAUUUGUUCUGACUUCCGGAUUGUAUAUUCUUCUUACAUGAUAAACACCCUCAUGGGGAUUAUCGAUCUUUGCCAUUGAUUGUUUUUCC